AAUUUUACACUGUCAAAUUUGUACCACGUUAUCAAUAAUAAGUCAAUCACAUUUCUUCUUUUCAAACAAUUAUAUAAUAAAAAUAUUUUUUUAUAAUCAUGAUGGGACAUAUAUUUUUUUUAAAAAAUAUUUGAUUGGUUGGUAACGCCACGUCAAUAAUAUACCCGGUGCAUACUAAAAUUUUUCGUGUAACUGUGAUGUACCAGAGUUACCAUGGUAGGAAAAAUUCUAGAAUGCAACGGGUAUAUUAGUGACGUGGCGUAACAAACCAAUCAAAUUAAUCCUUUUAAGAAUAUAUGUCCUAUCAUGAUUGUAAAAAAGUAUUUUUAUUGUACUUUUGUUUGAAAAGAAGGAAUGUGAUUGGCUUGUUAUUGAUGACGUGGUGCAAGUGUGACAGUGUAGAAUUCCUCCCAUGGUA
rnacentral:lncRNA from 1 species